CAUUGAAAGCUGUUUCACUUUCAGCAACUAAACAAGGAUAUUGUGGUGUGUUGUCUCUCAUAGUGGUCACGAUUAAUUAGAGCAGAGUGAAAGAAAUGACUUGAAACAAUAUAAUUCAACAGUCUGACUGGGUCUAAACUUUAGUGCACUAAAAUUAUUGUACAUGUAGAACCACAUGCCUUCACCAGGUCAGGUCUAGCACUUGGUAGGUUUGCCAGUGUUAGAGAUACGAUUAUCAAAUAUCAGGUUUUAUUUUCUUUAUAAACUAUUGCUAUUAUAAAUACCUUUAUUCAAACAUUAGAUGGAGUUUAUCCAGGAUAGCCUUGUCCCGUAGAACAGGGACAAAUCUACUAACUUGACUGAUAUCAAAAGGAGAAAGAAUUCGGUACCAAGGAGAGGCACUUAGGUGAAAAUGAAAUAGGGCAGCAGGUGGUGGCGGGGAAAAUGUUGGCAGUGUCGGAACCUGGACUUGUACACACUAUGGAUAUGGGAGACAUCCCAUUAGCUGAGCUUGUUAUUCAGAUACGUUCACGCCCAAUGACCGAUGAUACUAAGUUUGACUGCCCACAGACUGACAGCCUAAAAAUGCUCCUGACAGAGUUGAAAUGCCCAUCAGAGGUCCAGCAAGGAUGUAAUGUCCCAUACAUUGACCCCUUUUGAUUGAAGACCAGCCAACUUAAAGCUCACAGAUUGGUGUGAUUCAAUUGGCCCCAGUUCUACAAAAGGAUAGCCCACAGUUUGCUGACAGCCCACACACUGACUGCUAUUAGAACAAUGGUCCACAAAUAAUUGCUCAACAAGUUGAGAGCCAAGGGAUCCCAAACCCAUGGACAACAGGUCACUGGUUUUUAGUUCUCGGACCUGGUGAGGACAUCCCAAAGGCAGAAUGAAACAAAACCCAUGGAGUUGGAUACAGACUUUGAGGAUGAAGUACACAAAGUGGAAUCUGACACAGAGAACUUCCUGUUAGCUGCUGUUGGUCAGUAAUAGCACAGCAGAUGUUUCACCUGUUAUAUUGGAAUUUGUAUUCAUGUAAUUUGAAUCAUAAUCAUUCAAAUUAUAUACAUCUAUAUAUAUAUUACAUAAUUCUUUUAAUUUGUCCAAGGUUUACAAGUAAAAGAUAUGUUCAAAAUAACAUUGUUAUUUACACUUGGUUAUUCCAAAACAACUUAACUAGUACUCAUGCUACAACAUCCUAACAUAUAGUAUGACUUUAUCAGAAAAUUACAUUACCUUCUUCGUGUUUAUUUUGUAGCCUUCAUUUGCAAGCCUCCACCAGGAUCUUGAAAUGUAAUAGGUUUAUUGUCAUUUAAAUUCAACAACUUAAUACAAUAACAAGUAAUCAUGCUACAACAUUGUAUAAUACAUGAUAAUUUAAAGAGGUUUCCUGGGUGGGGGCCAAUUGAAGAGCUAAAGGAAAAAAUCAUAGGAAGGAAGAUUGUGUAUUCUAAGAUUUGACUUUUCAUCUACUGAGGAAAUUACAUAGAAGUUAGAAGGCUUUAGAAUGAGGGCCACUACCUUUAUUAGUUGGACAUAUAUUUUGUUAGAUUUACAUUGUUUAAUGCUUUCAGUUUCAUACAGUAACUCUUCUCAUGUUGGUGGAUCUUUUCUGAUGGGGGCUGAAGUGUUCAUUUGUGAAAUGGCUUUCAUUGACAAAUUUUAAAGGGAUUUAAAUGUAUUGUUGAAGAAUGCGUUGUUGACAUAAUAUGUAUAUAGUGGCCUUGCAAACUUCUAAUCAUCAAUUGUCUUUCAAGUGACUGAUCUACACCAAUAUUUCAUUGGGGAGCAAUAAACUCAUGUAAUAAAUAUUAACAAGUUGGUUUAAUUAUAUCUGAAAUACUCUGAAUGUAUAUUCUAUUCCCAUUUGAGCUUUCAGUGUUUGGCAUAUCAUCUGAAGAAUUUCUAAAAUAUAUCUGAUAUGUCUUUCUAAACUGAUCAGGAAGGGCACUGGAUAAUCACCUUCUCUGAUCCAGUUCAUUGUUGAUGCUGUUUCUUUAGUAAUGAGUAAUCUAGCUUAGUUAUAGAUAAAUUAAAUUAAGAGUAGAUUUCAUGUGAAAGUACGCUUUGCUUGUGUUAUCUGAAAAAGUUAUUUCCUGUUCUAAAAAUAGUAUUAUGCUGCAGAUUCCUUGUGCAUAUACUGCAAGAAAUGUAGUCAAUUAUGCAUGAAAAAUAUAUGAGCUGUCAUAUGGAGUAAGUAGAUAUUAGCUGCAUCUCAAAAUUACAAUAUUCAUAUUCAUUGCAAAAUUUAAAGAAUAUGGGUAAUGUGUACUAUUUGUAUGCAUCAUUUCUAAGUCUUCAAGAAUCAUCUUUUCUGUGGCGUAUUUGUACUAAUUAAGAAACUUGUUGAAAUUUGCCAAUGUUUUCAACUUGUCCAUGAACCUCAUUUUGGCUUCAUAAUUCCAUCAAAUGGUAUAAUUGUGUAAAUAAAAUGUCUUUAUAUUAAUGCAAAUCCAUGGACAUUUUUGACACCCCAGAUGUGCACACGUAUGCAUUUAGUAUAAAUUGUAAUAAAAAUUGAAAUACAUGUAUAUAAAAUAGGAUGAACAUAUUAUUGUAUUGUGCAAAUAUAUUGUGCUUAAUUUUACGCCGAUUUGUAGAUUGUUAGCAUGCCUCUUGUAGUUUUGCUACAAUCGUGUUUUGUAACAACUAUGCAGCAUUUUCUAAUGGU
rnacentral:lncRNA from 1 species